rnacentral:misc_RNA from 1 species
GGGAGAACCAAGAGGCCACUCAACCAUAGUUUUCACAAUAAAUUGGGGGUGAAUUACAAAUGUGCUCCCCGUGAAAAGCCCUUUAGAAAAUAAUAAAGCAAUCAUCCCCGCCUUCUCCGCUCCAAAAUCUUCGAUCACGUUGCCGAUGGAUUCCCUGCGCAAAUCCUUCAAAACCUACACUCAGACAUCCUCCCGCCACCCACUCGACCAAGAGCAUCAGCC